GCUUCUAACAUACGCUUGGCUCUCAUUCUCUCAAACAAAACCCUAAUUCAGUCUCUCUCUCUCUCUCUUCUCAAUCUCUCAAUCACCGACACGCCACCGCAACCUCCGUCAAUAUCAUCGUUCCUUUCCUCAUUCAAAACCCUAGACGCCGAAUCGCCUCCUCAGGAGCUCAAUCGACCCUGUGCGACAACGUUAGUUUUUCUAAGUGCUAAUGUAAUCCUUUCAAAGGGAAAGAUUAGGUGAAGCAAGAGCAAGCAGAAGCAGGGGCUAAGAAAAUGUUGUACCAAGUGUAGAAAGGCAAGGAGUAGAUUGGAUUGCCACAUUGCUGGCUAUCAAAAUUGUUUUAAUGUUUUGUUUUAAAUUGUUGUUCAUAGAAACAAAUAUUUUUGAUGCUCUAUUAUGCAUUUUAGAUUCUUUUAUAUUUCAGAGUAUUCUUCUGGAUAGUGUGAAGAACUGGUAUUACCAGCUUCACAUGUGAAGAACACUGCACUAAUUGAAUACCAUGAAGGUACAUAUGCUAUGUAGGAUCAUACAAGAUGAACAUUGUUGUUACUCAAGCGAUUUUGGCAAAACGGAUGGCUGAGGGAGUAUUAUAACAGCGAUACGUGCUAGGCACCAUGGUGUUGUAGUAUCAGUUGUGCGCGCGGCCAAGUAUACAUUGGAACCAAAGAUAUGUUGCAAAAAGAGGCUAAUGAGUGGAAACAAAAAUAUGAGGUUGUUGUGACAUUCUAACAUUAUAAUAUGUUUUUGUUUACCAAGGGUCACAAAGGUUGCCGACGAAUUUGUCGAAAUAAGAGCAAUUGAUGACCGAAGUUGUUGGUUGCGGUGACAUGAUGGUAAGGAUGCUUUAGACGCCAUUCGGGAUCUUGAUGGUAUGCUCAAGAGUUAUUAUAACCAUUACUCUGGUUGUUCAAUCUGUUCUUCAUCAAUCCUCUGGAUCCUCAACAUUUCAGAGUGACGUUUCGGAAAUGGUUAUUGUUCAGGGUGGAGAUUGAUUCAUCAUCUGAAGCCGAUGCAUCUAUUCUGUCACCGGAAGAUUGUAUACUCCAGAUACGCGAAUGGAAAGUUUGGGAAAAAGAUACCACGCAACAAGAUAAUGCACAUGUUACGUCAUUUUCUAUGAGGGCAAAAAGUGUUAGUGGAACAACCCAGGUCAACUGCAGUGAGCAUUCUUAUUGAUUGGCUUGUGGAGGUUAGUUCUUGAGCCUUCUAUAUUUUUAGUUAUUACUUUAGAAGCAUGCAAGUGCAUCUGAAGAUGCAAAUGAAGAAGGGGUGAUGGAAACGAGAGAAUAGAUAUCUAUCUACAAAUGAAGAAGAUGAAACACAAUCGGUUCGGUUUGGUUCGGUUCGGUUCGGUUAUGGUCGGUUAUGAAGAUCAUCUUAUACAUAACUAACCAUAACCAAAUGGUUCGGCAUUUGAAUAGUUUUAUGUUUUUUUUCUUCCAAUGUAUGUAUUUGUACAGAAUAUUUCAUUUCAAAGUAAAUAAUAUGGUUUUGGUUGAAGCCGCGUAUUACGCGGGCAUUAACCUAAUGAGGUAGUCUUAUACGUU